ACACAUUUUCUAUCUCUUUACUGGAGACAGGCUCUCAUUAUAGAGUUCAGGCUGGCCUGGAACUUCUGGUAGUCUUACUGCCGUAGUUUUCUGAAUGCUGGGAGUACAGAAAUAUGUUACCACACACUUUACUAUUUAUUUAGUUUGUUUUUGUUUUUGUUUUGUUUGAAAUAGGGCCUGAAAACACGCAGGUGUCAACUGACUGACAUUAAGUACUUUCUCUGCUUUAAAUAAAGUAAGUACACACAUGCAACAUUUAUCCCAAACCUAGAAAUCUCAGUGAUGAGGGCUAAAGUUGGCCAGUUUAAACCACAUCAUGAGACAGAAUCGAACAAAAACUACACACACACACACACACACACACACACACACACACACACACACUCUCUCUCUCUCUCUCUCUCUCUCUCUCUCUCUCUCUCUCAUAUAACAUAUAUGCUCGAGAACAAAUGGAGUUUGGGUUUUUUGUUUUGAGACAGGGUUUCUCACUCUGUAUUGUCUGCCUCUCCCUCCUAAGUGCUGGGAUCAAAGGGAUGAGACACCACCACCUGGCUUACAAACUAAGUUUACUCUAAUUAAAUAAUCACAUGUACCUCUUUUAUAUUAAUAUUUCAACAGCCACUAAUUUUUAUUUUUAUUUUGUUACUGUUUUAAACUAAGAAUAUUUAAUUAUUUCCCUCAACAAACCACACUUAGAUACUGUCGUAUCUUCAUUUUAGGGUCAGAUACAGCUUUUUUUCCCCUUAAAUUAACCUUGAACCUCUGAGGAUGACCUCGAACUUUGGAUUUUCCAGCUCCUACCUUCUUUGUGUUAGGUCACAGCUAUGUGCUGCUGUUCUGUGGUAAUGCAGGUGAAGCCGGGCUUGUGCAUGCUGGACAAGGGCUUUACUAAGCAGAUUAUAGCUGAGCCCAAAGCAUAGCCUUUGGUUGUUGCUUGUUUGGCCGCUGUUUUAUUUAGUAGACCAGGCUGGCCUGGAACUGAGAGAUGCACCUCGUUCUGCUUCCCGGGUGCCGAGAUUAAAGGUGCACAGCGAGUCACAAGAUUUUUUAGACAGGCUGAAAUUGUAAAUGUCAGCCUUAGGCUCCUGAGCCUCCCUCACCCACCUUCUGGACUGCUGGAAUUACAGGAAUGACAAAGGAACUGAAGAGAGCGACUGGUCACGGCACACUGGGGAAACCACUGGGCCACUGGCUAAGCUUACCCAGUCUGUGGUAAACGGAGCCCCAUUUGCCAUCAGUGUCCUCACUUCAUCGUCUUGGCCUUUCCUUGCAGCUUCUAGCAGCCUCUUCCCCAAGUCCACCAGAGACAUCUUUAUGCAUAGAGACAGAAGUUUCCAGAUGCUCAUACCCAGUGAAAUAUGUUUCCAAGAUGCUUUUGGGCUGGAGAGAUGGCUCAGCAGUUAAGAGUACUGACUGGGGGCUGGAGAGAUGGCUCAGUGGUUAAGAGC
rnacentral:sRNA from 1 species